GCCAUUAGCUCAAUUGGUAGAGCAACUGACUUGUAAUCAGUAGGUUGGGGGUUCAAGUCCUCUGGCCGGCACCA
rnacentral:tRNA from 1 species